rnacentral:lncRNA from 1 species
AGAGUGACGAGAAGGGUGGUGUUGGAGGUGGAGGUGUGGGAGGUGGUGGUGGUCUGAGAGGAGAUGAGGCGAGGUGGAGGCCGAGGAGCCGGUGAUCAAGUUGGAAGGGAAAAAGAAUAACUUAAGGAAUUAACAUAAUAAGGUAGGGAUAAAAUAAGUAUUUUAUAUAGUUUUUAACUCUAGUAUAUAUUUAAUCUAUGUUUAACCCGAGUUAAACUAAUAGGGGAUAACUGCAGAGAUAUUUUGGAAUAACGGUGGAACAUAUGAAUGACAUUUUAGAAAAAAAAAAAAAAAUAGAAAUAAAUCGGAUAUUUUCAGGUGCACGAAGGGUAUAUAGUAAGGUAUCGAACUUGAGCUUCAAGUACCAAUAGUCAAGUUAUUUAUCAACUGCAUUAGGGACUGGCGAUAUCAGUAAGCAAUUUAAAUGUUAGUGGUUUCACAGUUUCACUCUAAUCAUGUGGGCUUAUAGGGGUGGAAUUGGGCCUUAACAAGGCCCAUUAUGCGUUUCUGGCCGAUUUCACUGUCGACGGCCUGUUUCGUAGUAAGUAUUUUUCCCAACUAUUUUUCCUGCAUGGUAGCCUCAUUAUAAAGUAUAUAUAUAUAAAUAGCCACAAAAAAAUAAAUAUAAGAAAAUUACUAUCAUCCUAAUUGUACAUUUUCUCAUUUAAGAAUCAAAAAUCUUAUAACACUAAGCGCUUGGUACUAGCAGUCUAGCUCUCUCUCUCUCUCUCUCUCUCUUUCUAUAUAUAUAUAUAUAUAUAUAUAUAUAUAUAUAUAUAUAUACUAUAUAUAUAUAUAUAUAUAUAUAUAUUCUAUACCUUAUAUAUGAAAAGCACGAUAUAUCAAUUUGGGUUGUUCGACAGACCCAUUUUUUGGGCGGAAAAUUAGCACCCAUUUUUCUUUUCCGUACAAAAAAUUUAAAUAUAGAAUAAAAUAGAAAUAGAAUAGCAAUGAAUAGUAAGUUUCUAUAACAGAUACUGAUGUGAAAAUCCUAAAAUAUAAAUUUUCUAUUUAAUUCAAAAGUAGUUUCUAUAACAGAUUACGGGUGUGAAAAUCUAUUAAAAGUAUUUUCCCAUUUAUUUAAAUAUCUUUUUAGAUAUUAUCUAUUUAAUUUCAAAAUAUAUUUUCUUUUUAAGAUAACGGAUUUUAUUUUUCUAUUUAAUUUCAAAAAUUUAUUUCCUAACAGAUUUUAUUUUUCUAUUUAAUUUCAAAAGUAAUUUUUGCAUUAGAGAUUAUUGUUAAUUAUUUAUCAUUUAAAGCAUAUCUUUCUUAAUAGCGUGAUUUAUUAUUUUAAAUUUUUUAGAUACAUAUUUGGCAAUCAUAUAAAAUAUGGCCUAAAAUUAAAAAAUAAUUUUAAAAAAUUAUAACUUUUUCUAAUAAUUAUUAUGUGCAUUUGCACGUAUAUUUUACUAGUAUAUAUAUAUAUAUAUAUAUAUAUCCAUAGACACUUUGAGGUAGUACUACCGUAAAUUUUGCUUGUUACAUAUCCACUACAAAACACAACAAACACUACAUAUAUACUUUAAAAUAGUAGAGCCGCAAUUCUCGUUUCUAUCCAAUCAAAAAUCUUGAUUAUGUUUUGAAUAAUUCAUGUACUGUAGAACUAGUUUUACAUGUGGAAUUUCUGGCAAUAAUUACUGCCUCUCAGCAUCUUCUACUCCUGCCGCCUCCGGCUGCGCGGACUGCCUACACGACCAAUCCCGACCGACCAUCCGCCGGAACGACGAGCCCAGCCGCGACGUGGACUCCGCCUCUUUCCCAGCAGCCGUCGACAUGCCUUCCACACCCGCUGCCCCUGCGGCCGCCAUUUCUGCGAACACUCCAGGCGGCAACAGCAGUGGCAGGACCGGCUCAGCAGCUGCACGGCACACCGGACAAGUGGAGUGCAACCGCAGCCAUGUGUCUACGCACUCGACAUGAAACACGUGCUUGCAGUUGGGCAGAAGCCGCACCGCUUCCCCCUCCUCGAGGGCGCCGAGGCACACCGCGCACUCCGUCGCACCGAACUCCCCUUCUUUAUAGGCAAAAGUCGGCAUGGCAGAGAUGGUGGCGGGGCUGAGGCCAGAACUAGGCUGGCCAAGGGAGCUGUCGGUGCGUAGGGCGGUCGUCGUUGCAUCCGGGCGGCUGCGGAGGUACCGGGAGUAGUAGUGGAGGAGGACGAUGAGGAUGGCGAUAAGGAUUAGGGUUAGGGUGACGGAGAGCAUGACCGUGCCAGCGAAGCCGUAGCUCAGUGGUUUGGUCGGGGGAUCGCCGGAGUUUUGUGAGGCCUUAGUUGACAUCGAGGUGGUUUUCUCUCUCUUCUCGAUCUCUUCUCUCUCUUAGAUUCCUAAAUUGCUAGGGACGGAAUUUUUAUGCAUGGAGUUUGUUAAAAGAUGACUUCCGAGUUUUAUUAUCCGGUGAAAGAUACGGGUGACGUGGCACUGAGAUAAGCCAUUAGUCCUGUAGAUGGAAAAUUGAAGGAUUGUGUGCUACAAAAGGUAAUCUAUACAGUGCUUUUGACGGAUCAAAUGUCAACGAGACAAGGGGAAUGAUAUCUGUAGAUUAUUCAAUAUAAAAAUAAAUUUAAUUGAUUCUAUAGCAAUAGAGUACAGUAAUGUUAUUUUACAACAAAUUUAGAAACAAUAAAUUGUAACUUCUACUUUUAGAGGUUCAAAAUGCAACUUUUGAGGUUCUUUGUGACAAAAAACUUUAGAUCUUUUGUUUUUUAUUUUACAUUCCACAAGAAACUAUUGCUUAAAAGCAAAAGCCAAAAGUCCUUCCAUGAAGUAAAUUGCACUUUUGGGUACAUUCGGCGUAUCCGAAACAUAACUCUAAAAAAAAAAAGCUACCUUAAAAAAAAAAAGAAAAAGCGAUAGUUGCAAUCGAGAAGGUCAAACCCUUCUACAAAAGAAAAAUAGGAAAGGACAAGGAAACUUCCUAGCUAACAAAAUAGAAGGUCAUCCAAUCAAACAUUUUCAUAUUUUACAGAAAUAUAAAAAAAAUAAAAAACACUACCAUUUUAAUAUGUAAUUGCCAUCCACUUCCUAAUUAAAAUCUUCUCCAUCUACUUACUGAGUGUUAUAACUGCAUAAUAAAGAAGACUUAAUUCCCUGAUAAAGCCCUCCACAAGUAACAUUGCAACAUACAACCUCGGAGGAGAAAUUAUUACCACAAAGACAAGGAGAGAGUGCUCUACUUACAAGAUUGCUUUUUUGAUGUAGAAUUACUAACAAUCUACUAGAACUUAGCUGCAUUAGUUGAAGGCCUAUGACAAGUUUGUGAACUGCAAAGCUGCUUGCACUUGCAGAUCCAGGGAAACCGCAACUUCCGAGUGAUGAGACGAAAAAAAAGAAAAAGCAAAAAUCAUAUACCUAGUCCUGCAACCGCAGCAAGUUCCAAAUAGCAAAUGCAUUCAGACAUUAUUGGGUCACCAGUUCAGUUACCUGGCUUUGCGCAACACAAACGGCAGCACCUGAACUCAUAAGCCGGAAAUAAGAAUGCCGAAUAUUGGGUGACAAAAUCUGACAAGACCUGACCAACUUACCCAGUCCAAGUACAAGAAUAAUGUGCAACCUUUUGUGAAAAGGAAAAUGUGCAGCAUGUUUGCUGAGUAUCAGCUAUGUAGAAUAUAGACGAUUCACUGUCGGUACAUUGAACAAGCCCAUGAUUGACACAUCAAUUGCAACCAAGUUCAAUGUACUUGCACUAUCGACAACAAUCAUGUUAAUGGAUCAUUCUUAUACUUGCUAAUAUACAUAUAUUCUGCGUACUUCAAGAGUAUAAAUAUUAAUGGUUUCUGCUAACAGAAACAAAUAACAAAGCAUGCAUGCUCCAUGUGUUUUAAUCAUGAAAGGAAGCAGAAUGUACAUUUGUCGUGCAUUCGUCUGCAAUACUGCUCAAAGAAAUUACAGAGUCAAAUCUUUCCUACCUUCAGACACUACGAGGGAAACCUCACUCAAUAUCUACUAGACAGGUAGAAUACAGAUGCUUUUUGUAUUCUCCAAGUGGCUAAAAAGAUAAAGCGAGGUGCUGCAAAGAUUCUUAAAAAUUAAUCUGCGAAUUCACAAUUACGAAGAAGCAGAUGUUGAUGCAAUUUCUUUUUCCAAUAAAAACUUCAAACUAAAUAAAGAGUAAAGAUACGUCCAAGUUAUCGAUGCAAAUUCAAAAUCAUUCCCUAUCCAGUGGAAUAGCUGGAUAAAGAAAAAAAGCUUCAUACAGUUGCUGUUAUUAGAAGCACUAACAUCUUUUAUUAGAAUACUUUGUGCAUAAGCAUUCCUUUGUGCGAAUGCAUAGACAAAAAAGUAGUUUCAUUAUAGAAUAUUAGUUGAAGGCUGAGAUCAGUGAGAAGAAACUAUGCUUAACUCUUUACAGGAACUGUCCAAAAUCACAUGUAAAAUUCUUUUGUUUCCAUGGCUUUUGGAAGUUGUAAGCUUCUCUUUUCUAAAGAGUGUCCUUCAGCUUAUAUUUUUAAAACUAAAGCAAAGAACAAAAAGUUUCGGAGAAGCACUACCAAAUGAUCAUAUGUAGAAGUUCACAGCUAGGUAAGCAGAGAAACAUGGUGAUAGGUCAUAGACUGAUUACAUUUUUACCAAUAGAUAUCGGAUAAUUAGCAUCCGUCAACCAAUUCAAAAAACCAUAAGAAUACUCUCUGCCACCUAGUUAGAUCGUGUCUGACCUGGCUCCGGAAUAGCUUAUUCACUUUUGCAAAGCAGCAGCACCUGGGCAUUUGCAACUCUUUUAGGUCAGAUUCUGUUUUCCAUUAUCCAACCUAACAGAGAAAGGCAUUCACACGUUUCACAAAAUUAAGGAUUGUGCAAUAUUAAGGCAAAAUUUACAUUAAACUCUCAAAACGAAACUAAAACAUGGAUGAAAGAAGCAACUCUCGUAAAAAGCAAACUCCCAUUUAACAGCUGAUAGAGAAAUCCGUAGACAGACAAUUAAGCAACUCUUCUGACUCCACAAACACUUGCAAAAUUUACAUCAAAUAGUUAACAAUUAAACAAUUCAUGAAGAAGAAAAAAGGGUGAGAAACCUCUAACCUCUUUGAUCUUCAAUUCAGCUGAAAACCUCAUAGAACUUCUCUACAACAAGCAACCCCGAAUCAAUUGAUUCCAACGGGUCCUUCCUAAGCCGAUGCCUCAAACAAUUCGGAAUCACGGUUGCAAUAUCUUCCGCGGUCACUUUAUCCCUACCCUUUAAUGCUGCCAAAGCCUUCGCCGCCCGAUUUGUCACAAUAUCCCCUCUCAAUCCAUCCACAUUUAGCUCAGAACAAACUUUGGAUAUCUUAACUCUAAGAUCAUGAUCAAUCUGAACAGCACCAAGAUUGCUCCGAGCUGAUGCUAUCUGGUUCUGGAGCUUUUCCUGCUCAGCCUGGUAUGAUCCUCUAAACCCCUUUGGGUCCUUGUCGAACCGGGCUCGCUCCUCCACGAUCUUGACCCUGAGCUCUGCAUCCCGCACGGUCACGACCUGUGCAUGCAUACCAAACCGGUCGAGGAGCUGCGGCCGGAGCUCACCUUCCUCCGGGUUGCCUGAACCAAUGAGGAUGAAGCGGGCUGGGUGGGAGAUGGAGAUACCCUCUCUCUCAACCGUGUUCCACCCUGAUGCAGCAGAAUCCAAGAGCACGUCGACUAAGUGGUCGUCCAAGAGGUUGACCUCGUCAACAUAGAGGAUGCCCCUGUUGGCCUUGGCAAGGAGGCCAGGCUCAAAGGCUUUGACGCCGUCAGUUAGGGCCUUUUCUAUAUCGAUGGUGCCGCAGACGCGGUCCUCGGUGGCGCCAAGUGGGAGGUCAACCAUGACGACCCUGGUGGUGGCGACAGGAAGCUCCUCGCCGUUGGCAAGGCGGGCGCGAGCAUCGGCAGACAGGGACUCGGGGUCCUCCGGGUCUGAGUUGAAGGGGUCGCCUGCGACAACACGGAUCUCCGGAAGGAGGUCGAUGAGGGAGCGAACAGCGGUGGACUUCCCCGUGCCGCGGUCGCCCAUGAUCAUGACACCGCCGAUCUUGGGGUCGAUCACGUUGAGGAGGAGACAGAGCUUCAUCUCAUCCUGCCCCACAAUGGCCGAGAACGGAUACACCGGGCGCUGGGUCUCCUUUGCCGCCACCUGCGGGAAAACCCAGUUUCAGACCCUGCGCAUGUGCUCUCGCCAGGCUUAAUUACACAAAAUUCCUUGCAAUUUAUUUCUCAGUUACCUCCUAAAUACAAAAAUUUUCUUCAAUCUUAACUCUGCAUUUUACCACUAUCUUCAAUAGGUCCAGAAACUUAGAACAAUGAUCGAAUUCAGAUACAAUACUGUACCAAAAUAGAUUGCAUAUCACAUCUCUUCUAUACACAAACAUCAAUCUAAAGUUUGAACUCACAUAAUGGACGUAAAACUAAAUAAAAGUCGUCGCCAUUAGAUUGAAAGGUUUUAUUUUGAUAUAGUUUAGCCGAACAAAUUUGUUAGAGAACCUGGUUAACAACAAUGCCUAUCACCUGUUCGGUGGACUGCGCGAGAGGAGCGGCGACGUUGGAGACAACGAGGCGGCGGGGGCGGGGUCCGCUACCAAACCCGACUCCAAAUCCGCCAUGGAAGCGCCUCGUAGUGUGAAACCGAGCUGUGGAAGGUGGAGAAGAAGAAGAAGAAGAAGAAGAAGAAGAUGAUGAUGAUGAUGACAACCCAUGAGAGGAAUGGAGUUGGGUACAGAGGGGAUGGUGAUGGAGACGGGGUUUGAGGUUACCGCGAAGUGAGUUGGGGGCGGAGGCGAAGCGGGGAGGGCACGCGGCGGAGGCGGAGGAGGGAGAGAGCAGCGCCGCCAUGGGAGGCUGAGGGGGUGGUGGGAGGAGGAGGAGGCGCGGAGAGGGAGAAGGGAGAGGGGUGUGGUCGAGUGAGGAGAGGGGUGUGGUCGAGUGGAGGAGGAGGAGACGAGGGGAUAAGAGGAGACAAGGCUAUGUGGACGGUUGGGAUUGUGAUGGGAUUUUCGGGGUCUUUUUCAGAAUAAGUUUUUGGCUGAACCUCGCCUACCACGUCACUUGUGGUCCUGCAGACUUUUUAAAAUUUUCCUUUACUUACGAAAAAAAAAAGGGUGAUUUACUCGUCAAUAAUCAAUUUGACUCGCUAGUGUUUUAGCAUAGUUUUUACAGUAUUUUAUAUUUAUUUUGUCGAAAUAAUUUAUCAUUUAAAAAUAUAAAAAAGUAAAAUAUUUUAAACUAUAUGGUGAUAAUUUAUUUAAUAAUAAAAUAUUAUAGUGAAAUAAAAGUAAAACUAUAGAAUAGUUACGUAUCAUACGUACUAAAUCAUAUUAUAGUUAAAUAUAAUUUUUUAAAUUACUGAUUAAUAACGGAAAAAAUAUAUUGAACUAUCUUGAAAUAAAUUGAAGUUUACACUUUUAUGAAUUAUUAAGAAAUGUGCCCAAGUACAACUAAACCAAACCAAACCACUGCUAGCUUGGUGGUAAAUGUAUCCAACGGGUAUUUAGUUUGAAUCUCUUUAGAAGAAUACAGGUUACAGUUGCAUUGUUUUCUUUUUAUGUAUUUCUUUUAUAUAGAAUAUAAAGAUAUUUAUUUGGAGCAUAAAAUUUCUAAAUGCGUAAACACGAAAGUUGGCUCACGGUGUAUUAAGUAUAAUAAAAUCCUUCAAAUAUAAAUGAGAUGACUUUAAUUGCACGGUGAAUAUACCUACGUAUUUCAUACAUACGCAUGCAUGAGUCCGUGAGCUGUGUUUGCAAGAAGCCCAUACAUAUCCUAAUUAAGAAUGUUGACCUUACAUUAAGAUUUGUCAUGUGCGUAUAUGCAUAUAAAAAGAUUGCCAUACUUCACAAUUAAUGAGUAUCGAGUAAAGAACGAGUGAAGAUCGUGAAGUGUGGUGGUGAAGUACGAAAAUUUAAUUAGUAGCUCGUUCAGCUACCCUUUAUUUUGUAAGAAAAAUCUAUUUGGGAUAAGGAUAUAAACUUUUUUUAUAACAAAAGAGUACUGGAAACUUAAAAUACCUCUCAAAAUUAAGUUUUUUCUAUGACUAGCCUCAAGGAAUAGGGUUGUGACAGCGAAUACUUUAUCCAAGCAUGGCUGACAGGGACCAUCGAUAUGUGCUCUAUAUAUGUUGCAAAAAUGAAGAAAAGCUGAAACACUUAUUUUUUCAAAUGUGAGUUCGCAGUAAAUCUGUGGAUCAAUCUUCUACAUGGCAUACCGAAUUCUGCGCACAUUUUGUUAAAUCAAUUAGAAAAUCUACUGUCCAAAUGGAGUCGAGUAAGGAAAUCACAAUCGGGACAAGCAAAAAUUCUCUUCGACCUCUGCUUUGCUGCGACUUGUUGGGAACUUUGGAAAGAAAAUUUUUUUAAAAUCUUUAACAAUCGUGUAACUGGAAGUGAAAAAGUGGGUACCAAAGCCUUUUCCUCUGUUAUUCUUUGGAACUCAUUUCUAAGGGGAUAGUGAGCAACAGCCCACACUUUUGGGGCUCUACUAAUCAUGUAUGAUGUACUUUCUCAAAUAGAAUAUUUUCCUGUUUAAUCAAAAAAAAAAAGAAAAGAAAUAAUCAUAAACUAAUUAUAUUUAGGUUGAGAAAAAUAUAGAGAUACGGAUUUAUCUUUUACUUUUUUCGUAGAAGGGAUAUAUUUCUCUUAUUCGUUAUAUUUCUUUUCGAUUAUUUUUGUAUUAAUUUUUUAUUUGUAUAUUUUUUAUUGAUAGUAUAUGUAAGACGAUCUUAAACCCCAACACUUUAGACAGGAAUAAGGAUUAAGAUAUAUCGAGUACAAUCACACAAAAAGCUUAGCUACAUGACAACGUCUCCAUCUCCACCUUAAAACUCGGCAACAAUUUCUCCGGCAAAGACACCAACACUCUAAAUCCUUCGUCCUUCCUCUCAUCCGUCGCACCGUAAGGCAAAAAAAAGCAAGUCUCAACACUCCCCAGCAACUUCCAAGAGAGGGGCAAGACGUCGACGGGCCCGCCCCACCCGAAGUCGACGUCGGAGUGUCCCAACCGCCGCCAGUCGGUGAAUGCGGCGACCGAUCCCCCCGCGGUGAUACCUCUCGCGUAGUUCAGCUCCUGGAAGUCGAUGUACGACCUCACGUACUCGUCGGUCACGUCGCGCUUGCUCUCGCGAAUUAGCACAGCUGUUUUCGACAGCGGCUGUUCUGCCAGCUCCCCGGCGGUGAGACGGACGUAUGCGGGGACGCACACGUUGCCCCAGUACCCGGCGGGGAGCGGCGGAUUGAGAAUUUUGCUUAUGUUCAUUGAGUAUACCAUUUUUACGAUCUCGUUAUUGCUCCCAGUUCCAGUAGUCCUGACCCUGUUAAUUACAGUGUGGUGCAGUUAUUUGUAAUGUUAGCGUUGUGUUUAUACCCUCAUGAGUGUCGUUUUCACUUGUACACGCAAUCUGUCUAACCUGGCUCGCCAUAUGAACGCGCUCAAAGCCUCGAACGUGGUGAGGCGCGACCCCGUCGGGGACUCGUCCACGAGCCGGUUCCUGAGUCGCUCGGCGCACGUGUUACUCACGUGAAAGCACUCCCUCGCCAUGCGGGCCCCGCUCCUGCUCGCUGCAUCGUACGGUCCGCGGGACGCCACCCGUUCGUCGAAGUCGAAGAUCUCGUUGAACCGCGGCAGCUCGACCCGGGGAGGCUUGCGCGGGCCGAGCAGGGUGGACCGGUCCCAGACCGGGUCGACCGGCGGUCCGCCUAGACCGCGCGCGAGCCGGGCGACGGCGCAGAGGAACUUGGUGGCGCCCGCACCGUCGCACAUGGCGAUGUCGUGGACGCAACAUCCGAGCGGCGAAACCCCCGCACGCGAACUGCGUCACCUGAGCCGCCAAGGCCGAGCGCGCCGUCGGGCCCGCCCUCAGACAGCGCCAGGCUCGGCACGAGCCGGGUCGAGAAGGCCGAGUCGACACCGAGCGGCGAUCGCGAUCCGCGUCGCGGCGCGCGUACAGGUGCACGCCGAUCUCCUCGCCGGCGGCGGCGGAGGGGUAGGCGGAGCUUUCGAGGCGUGCGUCGCGGCGCGGCGCGAAGGGGAGGAAGUGGUUGGGGCGGCGAGCGCGGCGUCGAGGGCGCGGGAGAUGACGCGUGGAGGGGUCGCCGUCGGGGCUUGUCGGGGAGUAGAUGGCGGAGGGUGCGGGAAGCUGACGUUGAGGUUGGGGUCGGUGUCGAGGUGGGAGAGGGGUAGAGGAUGGGGAUCGGUGGAGAGGAGGCGGAGGAGAAGGGGAGAAUGAGAAGGGUUUCUAUCAUUUCGAAUCUCACAUUUUGGCAAUUUGAGUUAGAAUUAGGGUUGUGGAUCGGAUUUGGGGAAUUCGACCUUUUUUUUUUUUUUCCAAUUUUGUUGAGAUUGUUAAUGAGGGUUUGGUGAGAGAGAAGAGAGAGAAGAGAAAGAGAGAGAGAGAAGUUGAAGAAGCAGGAGGAAGUCGGUGAAGUGACGUGGAAGCGGGAGCAUCAAUUUUGAAUUGGAGAUCAGAAGCCGUUGGAUUAGUUAUAGUUUUUAUUGGGCCUAUGUGGGCUUGGUUGGGGUGGUUUAGGGAUUAAAAGAAAUAGAAGGAAUUAAUAACUACAAAGAGUUUGGCCCGAGAGCUAACCCAAAUCAUCAGUGGCCCAUCACAAGCAAAUAAAAUUCAUAUGCAAUUAGUAAGGCGCGCCAUUUAGUGUUAAGAGCCGCCUGGGCGAAAGCCAUUGUACAAUGUUGCUCAUCUACUCUUUUUUAUUUUUUUUUCGGUGGAAUCAGCGGAAAAUAUAAUUUACACACCUAAUUAAGAUACCGAUGUAUGCAAAUAAUAAAAUAUUUAUUUAUUGAGCCUGUUUUUACUGCAAUUACUAGUUAUGAAUUUAAUGUACUUCAAAUCAUUUGGAGUUAUGAUCAAAGUUGUGUACAUGCGAUAAAAAAGUUAACAGAAUUAAUGUUCAAUUAUAUACUUUCAAAAGUGACAUCACGAAAUCAUAGUGAUUUACAGAAUAAUUUAUGAGGCAACUACCCAAAAAAGAAUGGAGCAAACAUAUUUUAUAAAUGUGCAAUGGAUACAUAAAAUAUUCAAAGAAAAGAAAUAAUUUGUUUUAAAAAAAUUGUAGACACGGCAGGGUGUAAACGAGCCGAACACGAGCUGACUCGUUAAAGUAUCGAGCCGAAAAAUUCAGCUCGUGUUCGGCUUGUUUAUUAACGAGCCGAACACGAAUAAACGAGCCGAACACGAGCUGGCCCACGAGCUGGCCAACAAACAAUAAAUUAAAAAUGAUUAGAUUAAAUAUAUAUAAAAAGUAAAUUUAUAAAAUCUUAUCCAUUAGACUUUGAUCUAAUAGUUGAAACUUUACGUAUAAAUGUGUCUUUUUAUAAUUAAGCUCGCAUUUAUAUUUUUAUUUUGCUAAAAUGUAAAUAAUAAAAAUAUAUAUUAUAUAUAUAAUUAUUUAUUUAUAUAUAUAAAUAUAUAUAAAUAUAAAUUAAAUAAAUUAUAUAAAUAUAAAAUAUAUGUAUUCGAGCUAUUAUCGAGCCGAACACGAGCUGGCUCGCAAACAGCGAGCUGGAUUGCCACCUUUAGACACUGCAAUAAUGGGAUGAUCCGGAGACUACUAAUAAUUUUUUAGCAUAAAGAGAAUCCUCUAAAGCACUGAGAUUUUGAACUAUGCGAUGCGAAAGAGUAAAAGUGUUCUACUUUAAGACGAGAAAUUUAAAUUUAAAAUUUUCAAAAGAAAGGCGAAAAUAUAGAAAUUCAAAUGUAUAAAGUAAUGUUUUACCUCAUAAAAAGCAUUCUAAUUUAAGAAUAUUCGAGAAAUACCUAGAUGUCCAAUAGAGUAACUUCUUUAAUUUUCUUUAUAUAUUAAAUUUGGUUUUUUUUUUUUGUUUUUGUUUUUUUGGUGGAAUUAAAGGUUGAGGUCCUACUUGUAAUGAAACCCUACCAUAUAAGUGAAUUAAUUAAUCAUCCAAUAGUUGGACAUAUAUGUGGAUAAUGGAAAAAAUAUAGAUAAAUUAAAAAACAUGAGGUGGUUUCCUUCUCAAUUUUUGUAAUUUAUGGUUCUGAAAAUAUGAAUCAAUUAGGAUUCGAACUUAAGAUCUCGAAUACCAACCAUCAAGUUUUUUGCCACUUGUUUUAAGAACAGUUGGUUGUAAUUUAUGGUUAAAAGAGAUGAUGAUGCUUUUGAAACUUUUCCGAAAAUUAAUUCUGUAUUUUUUCGUUUUAAACCAUUCCAUCUACAAACUUUAUUAUAUAAAUAAUUAAAUAUAAGUUACAAUUUGAGAAAAUGUUUACAAAUCUUCUAAAUUUUCGCGGUUUUUGCAAGCAUGCAUCGGAUCAUUUAAUUUUGGUAAUUAGAACUCCGUUAACUUGAUCAAAUGAGUCAAUAAAUCACUCUCCUCAGUUGAAGAAUAUAUAAAAAAAGAUAAUCUCUUCUAUUGUAAUAAGUUCACUGAAUUCUUCAAUAUUCCUCGAACUUUAUUCAUUAUCAAAACUGAAAGAGAAUUUUUUUUAUAUGUAUAUUUUUACUUUUAUAAGAUGAUAUGCAAAAAUAUAACUAAAGUUUAAAUAUUAGGAGGUCUAAUGAUCAAAAUUAAAAGUUCAGACAUCAAACCUUAAAAGUGCCGAAGUUCAGAAAGUCUUCGUACAUUUUUCCAUUAAAAAUUGAAGACGAGAGAGGACCCACCUAAGAAGAAGUAAAACAAAGUUAAUUAGAACACGUACUUACGCAGAACCGAUCGUCCCUAUUACAAGUGGCAAAUGAUUUGAUGGUUGACAUCUGAGGUUCCAAGUUUGAAUUCUAGUUGAUUCGUAUUUUCAGCAAAAUUUAUUUUUAAAUGAAAUAAACGAAACGGAUAGCAUGCUAUCUAUCUCUCAAAAAACACAUACUUACGUAGGGCCGUAUACAGUUAGAGGAGACUGAGUGAGAUUACACUAAAACAUUUUAAGUCCCACAGUGGGAAUGGGUAGAAGAGGAACCCACUUAGACCACACUCCCUUAAUACUCUAUUAGUUGUAAUUACGCGACAAAAAAUUAAUAAUUCGAUAUAUGUAACCAAAAAAACAAAUUAAAUGACAAGAGCAUGACUAGGCCUGCACCAGUUAAAAUUUCAGGUAUCUGUUUUGAUGUUGUAAAGAGUUACUCAAAAAGUUAUGCGCCAUUGAAUGACUUUUUUGUUUGUAAUUGUAGCACUUCAGGGUUAUGCCUUUUCAGAAUCUAUACACAUAUAUUAUUUCUUAUGAAGUUUUGUCACGUGACAUCAUCAUAGUCUUCCCUUCUCAAAAUUUCUACUCUUCAAUUAUUGCGACCGCUCGCAUUCCUCAUAACGUCUGCCUCUUCGGCUUUUCGUUUCAUUAAUUCCUUCUCCGUAACGUAUGCCUAUUCGGCUUUCCUCCUCAUUAAUUUCUUCUCUGUAACGUCGCUGCUUCAACUUUCCGCCUCAUUAGUUUAUAUUUUCUAAGAGGUGUUAUCCGAGGAGCUCGUGGGCACGGCAUACGACGUCCUCGACAACUCCAGCCUCAAGCACUGCAGGCGCGCAACCCUAGCCCUCGCCAUCAAUGUCGGGUGAGUCGAAUUCUAACUCUAGCCCCCAACUCUCCUUUCUCGAUCUCGACCACUUAAGUUUGUAAUGUAUAGUUAUACAAAGGGUAUGUAUCCCUCUCCUCUAAUGGUCUCGGAGGACAAGUAUCGGCUAAGAUAUGAACUUGCCGAAAAGGGCUUGAAGGCACUGUGGUACUUCACAAAAUUGUCAGUGUUAGUUAAGAAUGCCCUAAAUGAGGAUACAAAGAAGUCCAAUUUUUAUGUAACAAUUUUUUUUCUCCUAUAGUUUUUUUAUCAUUUGUUGUUUUUCAUUAAAUUAUAAUUCUAUUCUAAAAAUUUUAAAAUAUUUUUAUAUUAUUAAAUUUAAUCAAAUAUGAUUAUAUCUGUGGCAUCGCGCGGGUUUAUACACUAGUAAUACAUUAAGAAAGCAAUUUAAAGGCGUUAUAGCACUAUGCAUCUUAUAUGGCAUCUAGAUAUACCUAUUAUCUAUAUAAUGAGAUUGUCGCAAAAUAAUUUGAUGUAAACAAAACUGUACCAACAAGACCUUUCAGGCCGCAAUUUUUCUAUAGUCUGGUGCAUGAAAUUUCUUUUCUGGACGGGGCUGUCCAAUUCAGACUAUUUAUUGUAAGGAUCGUCGGUACUAAUCAUUAAUUUUAAAAAUUUGAGCUGUUAGAAAAAUACAACAAAUUUACUUAAAACGUAUUAAACAAAGUGUCUAGAAAUUCUAUUGUGAUUCAAUCUAAUCCAAUUAAUCUUCCGUGACCUCGAACAUGAUUCGAUCUAAUUCAGUCUUUUUCUAUGUUCAAAAUGACUUAGCAGAAUCCGACCUUCCACCACAAAACAGCAUGCAUGGUGGUGCUCCGAGGUAUCUUUUUUUCGUGCAGCGGAAAUAUAUCUUGUACAUUUUCUGCAGUGGAGUACAACUCAAAGAUCAGUUGAGGGGGAGAAUGAAUAAAUUACUAACGGCCAUUUAGUGCUUUUUUAAAUUACUAUUUUUCUGAAAUAUGGUGUUAGCCUUUUAAUAUCUACCAACUUUUUCAACUGUUUCAAAACUUAAAAUUAAAUUAUAAACAAUUAAAACAUUAGCUUUUACAAAAUAUACCAUUUGAAAUCAUUAAUUAAGAAAAUUAUAAUUAAUUUGAAAAGAUCUUGUACGAUUUGUGACCGUGAAAAUGUAGGGGCGGAAAUGAGCCGGGCUUGAGCGAGCUUACCUCAGCUUAAGCUUGGUUUGAAAUUAAUUUCAAGCCUAAAUUUAGGCUCAAGUUCGGCUUGAAAUUAAUUCGAGCCGAGCUCGAGCAAGCCUAAUUUUAAAUCGAGCGAACUCGAGCUUUAAACUAGUCGUUUGAAAUUCUUAACAUCAUGCAAUCUAUAGUUAAUUUUUUAUGAAACAUUAUCUAAAGUUUGAUACAAAAAUAUGUUUAAUAAUUCAACAUACAAAAUAAAUGCAUGAAUACGAUAUUUAUAAUAGGGGCAAUUGCCUAUAUACCCCUGAAAAGUUCCCGAUUUUUUUAUUUACCCCUCUUAGAAGGCUAAUAUUGAAAAUACCCUUCUUAUGUUCCAAGUCUUUCUAAUAUAUCCCUGGAGUUAAGUUCCGUCAGUUAGCUGCUUUUAUCUCUGAAAAAUUACCAUUUUGCCCAUUCCAAUAUACCCUCGUAACGUAACUCACUUAUCUUAUAUACCCUUCAUAUAACAAAUAUUUUUCUUAUUUGCCUUUCAAAUAUCAAUUAAUUAAUUAAGCACGUUGGGAGCGAGCAGAUGAACGGAUGAGAUCGAUCGCAGCUAAACCAAUCUUAGUGGCUGGAGGCAUAGUUAGUUAAUUCGGAUUCGGCAUAUAUAUUAUUAUUAUAAUUUAUAUAUAUAUAUAUAUAUAUAUUAAAUAUAUUUAAAAUUAUAAUAAACAUAUAUUUUAAAUAUAUAAGAGUUAUAUAUUUAAAAAUAUUAAUAAAUAAUUACAAAAUUAUAAAUUAAAUAUUAUAUGAUAAUAUUUCAAUAUAAAAAUAAAAUAAUAUAUAAAUAUNCCGUCCCCUCCCCCCGCUCCUCCGACAUGCCCCCGCCUAACUUCAUGCCCCCCGCCUCCCUCUUCUCCUCCUCCUUCGUCCCGUCUGCCGGCAUGCUGUUGCUCCCGGCGCCGGCCAAAGCGGCGGAGGACGAGGACGACGACGACGAGAGCGGCGAUUCGUGGGCCGUUUUUUUUGUGCGAAUGAGGCGAGGCUUCUUGGGGGUGAAGGUGGAGGCGGAGGAGCCGGCGCCGAGGUUGGCGGUGGCGGUGAGCUGCUGGCGCUCGCGGCGGCGGGCGGCGAGCGGUGGGCUUGAUUGAGAGUAAUGAUAUUAAGUUGGGAGAGAAAGAAAGGAUAGUUUAAGGAAAUAGUUUAAUAAGAUAGGGGUAAAAUAGGUAUUUUAAUUAAGUUUUAACUCUGGUAUACAUUUAACUCAUGUUUAACCCGAGUUAGUUUAACAGGGGAUAACUGCGGGGGUAUUUUAGAAUAACGGUGGAACAUAUGAGGGGUAUUUUAGAAAGAAAAAAAAAGUAGGGAUAAAUCGGAUAUAUUCAAACGCAUGAAGGGUAUAUUGGCAAUUAUCCCUUUAUAAUAUUAAGAAAAAUAAUUUAGAAAAAACAAAUGUG